UUAUUUUCAAAACUGAACUUCGAAUCAAAUCAUCAAAUCAAUUUCAGAAAUGAACUUCGAAUCAAAUCAUCAAAUCAAACACGAUAAAGAACGCUUCAGCAGAAAUCAAGUUCCACAAAAACCAUUUCCCUUUUUCUUCCCAAUCCACUUUCUUUAAUUUCAACAACAUGAACCGAAAGAAUCAACGACCGAUGAAUUUAUAAAAUUGGAUUGAACUUACUGGUGCAUUGAGGAUGCACGAAAAUUAGCUGAUGGUGGUGGCCUUUUAGUUUUGCUUAUAGAACAGAGUCUGAUGCUUUAGCAGCUGCAGUCGCAAGAUAUUACUAAGGUGAUGCUUUAGCAGUUGUAGUCGCGAGAUGUGAUUAAGAUCUGUGAAGAAGAAGACGAGACGAUUUUGCAGAUUCAAUAAUUGAAUCAAGAAGAUCUUCAACAGCAGCAGAAAUGAAAUCGCCGUAUGGGAAAAGAUCUGAAAAUCAGUUCUGGUGGAAGAUGAGAAGGUUGUAGUGGUAGAGGUGGUGGUAUUUGAGAAGUUUUGGAGGAGGAUCUAAAGUCAGUGGUAAUGGAGGUGUUGAUUUCAGAGUAUGAGAGUUCACAGAGAGUUGUUGGAGUGUGAAGUGGUACAGAUGCAGAUUUGGCGUUGGUUUGGAAUGAACUGGUGUUGUUAUUGCUGUGAUAUAGCUCAAGUAUGCACUGGUUGAAGAAUCAGAAUGGUUUGAGUUAAUGAUGCUCAGAUAGAUGUAUGUUAGGAGUUAACAUUACAGGUAUUGGUGCAGCUGCCGUUAAGACAGUGGUAAUGGAUAGAUGUGUUUUGGUAUGGAUGCGUAAUUUUUAGUUACACAAGCUAAAUAGAUGUGUAAUUUUUAGUUACACAUGCUAAUUAGAUGUGUAACCUUUACUUACACAUACUUCUUCGAAUCUAUUUUCUUCACUGUAUUAAUGCAUUUGGUUUUAUUUGGGAUGUAUUUGAAGGUAAAUUUGAUCGCGAUUGAAGAUUUUUGGAGUCUUUCACUCUCACGGAGAAUACGAAUUUGAAGAUUCAAGAUAGUACUAGUAUAAUAAUUUUCGGUUGCUGGGAAACAACAUUCAGAUGAGGUUAUGGAGGUGUUGAUUUUAGAGUAUGAAAGUUCACAGAGAGUUGCAGGAGUGCGAAGUGGUACAAAUGCAAAUUUGGCGUUGGUAUUGCUGUGAUAUAGCUCAGGUUUCAGAUAACUUCAUAAAAGCUAAUUGCUUAAACGUGGUAACGGUCUCGCUGGAAC